rnacentral:rRNA from 1 species
GACGAACGCUGGCGGCGUGCUUAACACAUGCAAGUCGAACGGAAAGGCCCUGCUUUUGUGGGGUGCUCGAGUGGCGAACGGGUGAGUAACACGUGAGUAACCUGCCCUUGACUUUGGGAUAACUUCAGGAAACUGGGGCUAAUACCGGAUAGGAGCUCCUGCUGCAUGGUGGGGGUUGGAAAGUUUCGGCGGUAGGGGAUGGACUCGCGGCUUAUCAGCUUGCUGGUGGGGUAGUGGCUUACCAAGGCUUUGACGGGUAGCCGGCCUGAGAGGGUGACCGGCGACAUUGGGACUGAGGGACGGCCCAGUCGCCUACGGGAGGCAGCAGUGGGGAAUAUUGCACAGUGGGCGGGAGCCUGAUGCAGCGACGCCGCGUGCGGGAUGACGGCCUGCGGGUUGUAAACCGCUUUCGCCUGUGACGAAGCGUGAGUGACGGUAAUGGGUAAAGAAGCACCGGCUAACUACGUG